AUCUUUGAAUUUUCCAAGCAAAUGGUGGUAUAUGCUCAAUCUAUCAACAGAUACCCACUAUUAUACAAUGCUAAAAGGAAUCAUUAUAUCAUAUGUGUAUAUAUAUGCAUUACCCCUGCACUCAAAAGUUGAUCACGUACUUAUAUUUUCAGUUCCAAUUAAUUAAUUAAUUACAUGCAAUUAUAUUUCUAAAAGUUGAUCAUUUUUUGAUAAACAAAGUUCAUGCAUUGUCAUAGAAUUGUUGGUGAAUUGGUUCGUCAUACUUAAUUGGAGAUAUACAAAAAAUCCUGAUGGUUGAGAUGUUUAGUGCUUUAUACUUAAUUGGAGAUAUACACAAAUCCUGUUUAGUGGUUCAUCCUUCACGGUUCUUGAUCGUUCUUGCUUUUUUAUUUUUCAGGUGGAUUUGACACUACUCAUGCUGCAGCAAGAUAAAUUUCAUAUUUAGGCAUAUGAUCGAGCUGCAAUCAAGUUAUGUGGUGUUGAUGCGGAUAUCAAUUUCAACGUUAGCGAUUAUGAUGAUGAUAUAAAGCAGAUGAGUAACUUUAUGAAGGAAGAGUUUGUGCAUAUUCUGCGUUGACAGAGCACUGGUUUCUCAAGAGGAAGCUCCAAAUACAGGGGAGUUACUCUGCAUAAAUGUGGGCGAUAGGAAGCUCGUAUGGGACAGUUUCUUGGGAAAAAGUGAGAAAACCAAUUAGUUGAGUUUCAUUAAUAAAUAGUUUAUCCUAAAAUGUUUUAACCAUAAACCAUAAUUAAGUUCUGGUUUAAGAAUCACACUGCCCCAAACUUAGUGUAAAAUCAUUAGAAUAUUUCAUUAGAAUGACACUACUACGAUUCAAUUGAUAUUUAGUUGAUUUAUUAAUUGCUAUAAUAAAGUAUGAAAUUUAGUUA